UGCAGUCCCCCCUCUUUCGGUCUCUUUCUCUUGGCCUCUCCUCCCUCCCGCCGCCCUCUCCUCCCUCAUUCUCUCUCCCUCUCCCGCCGCCCUGUCCUCCCUCUAUCUCUCGCUGCCCUCUCCUCUCCCCUCCGCUCGCCCCUCACUGGAAUAGAUCCGCUGGUGAGGGGCGACGGCGGGGCAAGGAGCGGCGGCUGUGGCCAGCAGGGCCAGGAGGCGCAAUGCCCCACGAGGCACGGGGAGCAACGGCGUGUCGGCGUGCGGCGAAGGGGAGCGGCGGCGAGUGGCGACACGGGCGCGCGGGGAUCUGGCGGUGCGCGGCGAGGUAAGCCUCGGUCCUCCUCUCCCCUUCCCUCUUCAUCUCCUUCCUCUCCCUUCCCUAGGCGACGGCGGCCGCAACUCCUGCACUCGCCCUGAGACGCGGACGAGGCGUGGCCAGCAGGAUGCCGCCGAAUUUUUUUUAUUUUUUUAAUAGGCAUCACCGCCGUUCUUAGUCCGGCGGUGAUGCCGGAUUUGAGGCCGGCGGUGAUGAGGGAUCGUGUAGUAGUGUGUCGAUCCGGCCCCUUUGCAGGCCUAGAUAGUGUCGCCAGCGAGUGGCAAUCUCUGGCUAGUGUCGCUCCGAUCGGAUGUCAUUCCGGCCCCUCUACACAAACAGCAGUGAAAUCGGCCGGAUGUUGCUUCAGAUGGCCUGAUGGCUGUUCUCCUAAGCAAUCGGUCCAGGCGUGUUCAGAUUGAUCAAGUCUUCAGCUCUAGCUGGCUCAUGACCAGUCUCUCGUUGCCGAUAGUUUGCUUCUAGUUCUAGGAACAUUUAUUCAUCAUAUAUCUUUCUAGCAUUGUAUUGAGCAAAAGUAUAUUGACAAUUUAUACAUGUAUCUUAAAACGUUGAAAGCUCCAUAUUAAUAAGCGAGCAUAAAUAAGAAAAGCCACGCAUAAAACCGUUACAAAUCUCAUUGUACAUUGUCGUACAUUAAGGCAAUGAAUCGCCCAUGACGUGUUCCCUACUAGGUUUCGGAGUUCCGGUGGACUUGGAAGCAAUGAGAUCGAUGAGGUCAAAGCCCCUGCUAGGAGGCUGAGCUCGAGCUGGCGCUAGCAGAUCCUCAUCAUCAUUGAUGUCACAUGCAUUGCCGUCUUUUGCAGAUUUAUCUGGCACACCCACACCCUCAAGAUGCCAAAUGCCACAACGCUCCUUCUUUGCAUGCUCCUGGAACUCUUCUAGAUUUUUCACAGCAGCCCUACGCUCCCGUGAGAUCAAUCUAUGUGUCUCGAUUUGAGCCAAGCCAUUCUGUAGAUAAGCAAAUAGGUAACGGUUAGUAUUAGUAAAGAAUUACAUAGUAGGCUAGUAUAUUGUAAAUUCAUUAUAUAUGGAGAGAUAGCUAAUAAUUGGAGGUGAUAUGUUAUUCCGACCAUUGUGGUAGUUAAAUGCAUACCUCCAGCAUUGCAGCAUUGAUGCUGCUCUCAGCAUCCUCAUCAAACAAAGUCACAACAAGUACUUCUCCAGUACCUUGUCCUUCUUGCUUAGAUUCCACAGUGGCACGCUCUUCAAUUGUUGCUUUGAACUCUUUCUCAUUAUCAAGCAAAACCAUGCUUAGAUACCUUGCAGCUUGUUCACCAAGGUUAUCUUUUAGGUUAGGAACUGCGAUGAAUGCAAGGAGGAAUAACUUCGCAAGUGGAGGAAUCAAGGAGGUAGAUUGAUUUGCAUGUGCAGGUCUCAAGCGACUGUAAGUAACUAUUUCUUGGUUUCCAUAGUCUAUAUAAAAUACUAGAAACUCUCUCUCCAUGGGUCCUUGAUGUUCACUCACAAUCUACAAAAACAAGAAAACAUGAGUAUGAUUAUUAGGGGAAAAUAAAAAUAACAGAUAAUUUAUUAAUGUUUUGCUAUACGUGUAAAACAAAAGGAUAUAAGAAUUAUUUUUUUCUGUUCUUAUAAAUGUAAAAAAAAUUGAUUUCACCAUACCAUAGCUCGAUUCCAUGAAUUGUCGAGAGUGAAUUGGGCUAGUACCACAUCUCCCUUGGUUGGAUUAAAUGGAACAGCAUCAGAUGGACCAUUAGAUGACAAAUCUUCAGCUUUCGAAGUAUCUAAUGGAACUUCAUCUUUCAAAAUAUCUACUUUGUCUUUAAACAAACUAGACCACCUAGAAGGAAGAGGAACCACAUGAUUCUUUGGCUCAGCUUGAACUUCUGAUGUGUUCGAUGGACAAUGCCUUGGUUGAUCUUGAACUUCCAAGGUAUUUGAUAAAGUAUCUGGGAAAUCUUUAGUAACCAUCAAAGUUUCUGGUAUAUCAUUAAAUUUCAUAGAAGCAAGCUAUUGUUGAAUGCUGUCCAAGCGACGAUCACCAACUAUAUGGGCAUAGAACUUUCCACCACCAAUGACUUCAGUUACAACAAUCUUAAAAAGUGAACAAAAUUAAUUAGAGCAUUUUGUAUUGUGUGUGCCUCAAAGUUUAACAACAAACAUUUUCUAGAGUAGACAAACCUUGAAAGAUUCUUUUCCAUUUUGUCCCAUCAACGAUCCAUGGGGAAUCACUUUUGCUUCAUUGUAGUUCUCCCACACCUAGAAAAUAGAAAUAGAAUUGUUAUAAUUAUCUUAACAUUUUCCUUAUUUUCUACUAUAAAGAAAAAUUAAAUCACCUUCAAUUUCUUCUGUUGUGCGGACUUUUCUGCCCUUAUGAGGGUUUGAGCAUCUGAGAUUCUAUCAAGUCCAAAUGAACUAAGCUUGGCUAGGCCGGCUUCGAGAAGAACGUAAGCCAUAUUGUUUUUGGACUCCCAUAAGGAACCUAAGAAUGUCCCGGUCCUAUCCACAGCUUCAAUCUCAAUCUACAUAAACAUUAAUCUUUUAGAAAAUUGUAAAGAGCUUAAAAUUGAAAAAAUGAAUAGAAAACAGCAAACCUCAACAUCAUGUUGGAGUAUCGUUCUCCUCAUUAGAGCAAUGGCACCAUCCGAGUAGGGCUCAUUUUUACCAGGGCACCGAACACAGGAGAAUGAAAAGGUAAUGGUGCUUGUCUCAUUAGGUAUUGUUAGUUUGAAGCGAUGCCCACUAAAAAUGUACUCAACAACAGCGGAAUGCCUUUUGUUUCGUUGUAACAAGUGGAAAAAAAUCUCUAGCCUUCUUUGCAGGAACCUGAAAUAUGAUAAGUUGAAAUAAAAAAUUAAAUAGGGGAAAGAAAGAAUGGCUACACAAAUGACUUCUUGAGUGAAAAUAAAUCCUUACUGUUGUCAAAUCAUUCAUAUGAGUCGCAGGAUAAUACUUUUUAGCAUGAUAUCCUUUCUUUGCUUUUUCAGCACGCGAAUAUGCUGCCAAUAGUGCAUCAUAGUGCUGUGACCUCUCCUCAUAGUCUCGAUGUCUUGUGAUAUCAGCAAAUCCUCGUGAAAGCAAGAGCUCAGCGACAUUGGCUCCAAAUAGGUUGCCGGAGCUACCACUCUGGGAGGGUAGAAAAACGGAUCCAUAAUUCAAAACUCUGGUGUCAACUAUGUUGGUUUUAUCUGCAGCAUGUCCAUUUGAAAUAUUGAUUCUCCUAGAAUACUCCAUUGAGACAUGAACCUGAACAUUGUAAAAAAUCAAAUGCUAAGAUCAAUUGAAUUUCUAUGUCCUUUAUCAAUUUAUGAACAGAAACUAUAAUAGUUCACUAAGAACCUGUUUUCCAAUUAGCCGUGUACGCAAGAAUUCCUUAGCUGCACGAGCAAAAUGUUCAAUAGUUUUGCUUUCUCCAGAAGAAUCAACCAACUUAGGAGGUCUGAUGCUAGAAAUAUUUACACGGCGCUCUGCCAAAGGACUUCCAACAGGCACCAUAUCAUCAGCAAUAACUAUACAGUAACCAUUCACCACCUCUAUGACCUGAAAUGAUAUCAAUUAGUUAAAACCAUGUGUAUAGAUGAUAUGCAUAGUUGUAUUGCAUGGCCAACUAGACAGAUGCUAUCUGCAAUUAAACAUGUAUAACAACUAACAUGAGUCUUAGAAAAAGAUUAUAUAAUCUGUUAACCACAAUUGUUGAUAAUAGAGACAAAUUAAAUCUUCGAUUCAUUUGUACCACCAGAAGUUAAAAUGCCAAUAAAAACUCACUGUUUUGGUUACACAUUACACCCCGUACCGUUACAAAUUGAUGCACUAGACCAAGGUUACAGCAGUCAGUCAGUUCGCUACCCCCACUGUUGCCCAGUUUCGGUGCUAUCGAUAGCCACAGUUCAGCACACACAGUAGGAUCAAUUUUCCACACAUACAACAUAACAUAAAUGACACGGCUGACACUGCUAGCUUCUCAGUGCUCAAUUAGUAAAAUUACCCAGCACUAAAUCGAUCUAUUAACAUACAAAUCUUGGUGCCCAAAUUGUUGUGCAGUCAUCAUCACAGUGACUUCUCAACAGCUUUCACAAGCAUCAUCCAGUCACCUAGACUAUGAUAAAAUGUGAUAGAAGGCCAAAGAUUGGAAUUUGCUUCUUUAUACAUAAAUGAAAUCUUUCAGAGGUAUUAAACUAGAAAAAACACUCCUUUACUCCCUUCAUGUGUAUUUUCACAAAAGAAAAGUCUUGAUGAGAAGAUUUUGACCUUUAAUUUCUCUUACGAUAUAGUCAAUUGUUACAAAAUAUUAAAAUAUUCAGACUGCAGAUCUAUUAACGAAAUGUCUCACACUAAAAACAUAUAGAAUUUUUGACUUAUUGUUUGUCAAACUUAUAAUGUCGAGUAUAUUGUAUCAAAGUACGCUUUAUAUUAUUGGAUGGUAUUCUUGUUUCUAAGUGCAUAAACCUUGUAUGGAACCAAUGUUCCAAUUCUGAUGCAAAUAUGUUAAUGCUACCUUUAAUUUAAAAAUACAAAAAGAACUGAAUACACCAGUGCUACUUUUUAUAAAACAAGGCAAACGGAACUAACUUUUCCUGUGAAUUUCUGAUUGUGUAUUGGUGCUGUAUUUGUAACAGGUGGCUGAAAUCCCGUCCAUAUCCUUAGCUAUUCCUUCUUAGCCUGAAGUUCAGCAUUCUUGAGCUUUCUUUUGGUUUCAGCUCCAAGCAUGUUUGCGCUCCAUUCCAUAUACUUUGCCAACCCCUAUAAGAAAGCUGACAAUAACUGCUCAUGAGUAAAAAUUCAGAAAUAUUGCUGUAAUUUAAUUGUUCAAAGGAUAUGUUAUAUGUAUUCUGU
rnacentral:lncRNA from 1 species